UAGGUUAGGUUAGGUAAAGUUGGGAUAGCUAGAUAGAUAGGUUAGGUUAGGUUAGGUUAAGUUGGGAUAGCUAGAUAAAUAGGUUAGGUUAGGUUAAGUUAAGUUGGGAUAGCUAGAUAAGUAGGUUAGGUUAGGUUAGGUUAAGUUGGGAUAGCUAGAUAAGUAGGUUAGGUUAGGUUAAAUAAAGUUGAGAUAGCUAGAUAGAUAGGUUAGGUUAAGUUGGGAUAGCUAGAUAGAUAGGUUAGGUCAGGUUAGGUUAGACACACACACACUCACACACUCACAGAAAACAACUCCCACCAGUCCCAAAUUGAUAAAUCUCAUUGAAAUAACACCUCCGUCAUGCUAGAAUUUGUUUGGUGCCUAUUUCACAUUAAAUAAGGGGUCUACUGUAGUGGUGUAAUGGCCCCUUGUGUGUUAGCUUGGCUUAGGUUGGGUGGGAGAGAUUGGGUUAUGUUAGGCUGUACAACAAUGCUGGGUCAAUUCAGGUCAUGUC